GGUGGUGUAGCUCAAGUGGCAGAGCACAUGCUUAGCAUGCAGGAGGUCCUGGGUUCAGUCCCCAGUACCUCCA
rnacentral:tRNA from 1 species